AAAAAAAAAAGAAAAAAAAAAGAAAAAGAAAAUUCCCUUUUUUUUCUUUCUAAUCCAAAGUCGUCCCUCACACUUGUUGUAUUUGUUCCUUUU
rnacentral:ribozyme from 14 species